rnacentral:rRNA from 1 species
UACGAAGGGGGCUAGCGUUGCUCGGAAUUACUGGGCGUAAAGCGCACGUAGGCGGCUUCUUAAGUCGGUGGUGAAAUCCUGGAGCUCAACUCCAGAACUGCCUUCGAUACUGGGAGCUCGAGUCCGGGAGAGGUGAGUGGAACUGCGAGUGUAGAGGUGAAAUUCGUAGAUAUUCGCAAGAACACCAGUGGCGAAGGCGGCUCACUGGCCCGAUACUGACGCUGAGGCACGAAAAGCGUGGGGGAGCAAACAGG